UACGUAGGUCCCGAGCGUUGUCCGGAUUUAUUGGGCGUAAAGCGAGCGCAGGUGGUUUAUUAAGUCUGGUGUAAAAGGCAGUGGCUCAACCAUUGUAUGCAUUGGAAACUGGUAGACUUGAGUGCAGGAGAGGAGAGUGGAAUUCCAUGUGUAGCGGUGAAAUGCGUAGAUAUAUGGAGGAACACCGGUGGCGAAAGCGGCUCUCUGGUCUGUAACUGACACUGAGGCUCGAAAGCGUGGGGAGCAAACAGG
rnacentral:rRNA from 1 species